AACGAACGCUGGCGGCAUGCCUAACACAUGCAAGUCGAACGAUUGCCUUCGGGUGUUAGUGGCUCACGGGUUCGUAACGCGUGGGAAUCUGCCCUUAGGUUCGGCCUAACAGCUGGAAACGGCUGCUAAUACCGGAUGAUAUCGCGAGAUCGAAGGUUUAUCGCCAGAGGAUGAGCCCGCGUUGGAUUAGGUAGUUGGUGGGGUAAAGGCCUACCAAGCCGACGAUGCAGAGCUGGUCUGAGAGGAUGAUCAGCCACACUGGGACUGAGACACGGACCAGAAUCGUACGGAGGGGAGCAGAGGAGAAUAUUGGACGAGGGAGGCAAGUCUGACAAAGCAACGCCGGGGGAGUGAGGAAGGCGGUAGGGUUGUAAAGCUGUUUUAGACGGGAAGAGAAUGACUGUACCGGGAGAAUAAGCCCCGGCUAACUACGUG
rnacentral:rRNA from 1 species